CUUGCACCACCCCCAGGAAGGAGCUCCUUAAUCCAUCACAUCGGCUGAUAUUCUUCUUUAUGUCCAAACCCCUCAGAGUGAUAUCCAAGACCCUCAGGUCUGGCUCUUCCCCUCUCUUCCAGCCACAUCAUUCCUCUUCCUCAGACACACCCUAUGCUCUAGCCAAUCCCAGCCACUUCCAGCUCCUCCUGUUCUCAGGCUGUUUCAGUGUUCUCUGCUCCUGCAUGCUGGACUCCUGAGCCAGGAGGCUCUUUCACUCCGUGGCCCUUCUGCUCAUUCUUCAAGUCCCUGAGUGACCAGUGGUCCUCCUUUCUGAAGGCUCUUGCUACAAAGGAAAGAUGAGGAUAUUCUAUUUCUUGAUCCCUCUCAGCUACUGGGAGCUGCUUUGUGCCUUGGAAGCCUCAAGCUGAAAUGGAUGUCAGCCUCAAGUUUAACUCCAAGAGGGUUCACCUUGUUUCUUUGAACAAAAUGUGCUGCCUGUUGCUUCCCUUUGCCAGGAGUGGUGUUCCCUUUUCCACAGGUCUGGACCACAGUGUCUCUAGCUCCCGCUCCUGGAUACUUGGUUACUGUGUGUUUCGGUAAAAAAGCAUCCACAACAUGAAUAUCCACUAAGCUGUAACAGGGCCUGCUGCAACUAUAGUAUUUCCUGAAAAAGUAUCAACUGCCACAAGGGCCACAAAUAAAGUCUGUGAACUUGAAAUAACCAUGGAGAAUGAAAUGUUCUGAUUCAGAUCAUCGGUGGGAUUUCACUGGGAAAUCUCCCACUGGGCAAGAGUAGAUGAUGGAGGAGGAGAAACAGUCACUAGAAAAAGGUGAUACUUUGUAUCAAGAAACAAUUAAAAAUUAGAUCACAUCCUGAAACAUUAAGCAUAUGCUCCUUUGUGAGGCUUGCCUGGCUGAACUUGAACUGGAUUGAGUGAAUAAUUUCUUAAAAACAAUCAAAAUCACAGAUUUAUUCUAUUUUAAAUACUUAUAUUUACUUAUAUUUCAUUCAGAAAUUAGUUAACAAAUAAUUUUUGAGUAUCCUGGGAACUGUUCUAAUCAUUAAACAUGCAAGUUUGAAGAAAGUAAGGAUGAAUCUGCCUGCGUGGGGCUCUCAAUCUAGCGAGAAGCAGAUAAGAAGACAAAUGUCAGGGAAGAUCACACAACCUUCAGAAUUCAUGUUGAACCAUAAUCCACAAUGCAACAGUAUCAAGAGGUGUGGCCUUUAGGAGCUGAUUAGGCCACGAAGGCUCUGCCUCAUGGAUGGGAUCACCCUUAUAAAAAGACUUGAUGGAGUGCAUUCAGUCCCUUUUUUGCUCCUUCCAUUCCUUCCACCUUGUGGGAAUACAGCAUGCCCUCUGGAAGAUGCAGCAACACAGCACCAUUUUGGAUGCAGAGACCACAUUCUUGCAAGACACCAAACCUGCUAAUGCCUUGAUUUUGGACUUCCAGCCUCCAGAACUAUAAGAAAUAUAUUUCUGUUCUUUAUAAAUGACCCAGUCUCAGGUAUUUUGUUACUGCCAUAGGAACAGACUAAGACAGGGCCCAAAUUGCCCCAUCUGUGGAUUUCAGAGGUCCCUGAUCUGAAUGGCAGAAGAGGAGUUUGCUGUGCCUAUCUGCUGAACUGUACACCACUCCCGUACAAAAAGGCCAUGAGGCUCUGGCAGUGCCUGCUCUACAUACCAGGUUUGUUUGAGUAACCAAAGGACUCAUCAAAGGCUGCUUAACCACUGCUAGUUGUUAGCAGAGAUGGGCAGAAAGAAUCAUUUUCACUUCCUUGUCAUUUCCUAAAACUGCCCCUCCCAAGGAUUAGGAACAGGCACAUCCCCACCAUGAGUGAUCAGGGCUCUAUAAGGUGCAUUUGUGCAUCACAUCAACACUCAUUAAAAACAAUGAGACAGUAACUGCAAAAAGACAUUACUUCACCCCGGCAGCAAGUUCCCAGGGGCAAACUUGCCAUCUGCUAGGCAGCGCUAGGAACCAGAAAACUUUUGAAGCAAUUCAGUUGGAUCCUCCAGCUUUGAAGCAUCUGGUUGGUAACUGUGCUAUCAGCAUGAAGUUACCUUCUCAGUUUCAAACACCCCAGUGUUGGAACCUGAAGAUAGAAUUCCUGUGGUUUAGACACAAAUGCCUGCUACUAGGAUUUACAGAUGGGGCUCUCCUUUAAGUCUUAGGAGACAUGGCUCAGAAAUGAUCAUGCAAUCUCUCAACAAUUUCUCAGGAAUGACCAACAGUCUCUCAGAAUACAGCAAAACAUCUGUUUCUUACAUGUAACUCCACCGAACACAGGCUGCCUUCCCCAUACACAUGUUUUUCUGGCGGGGAUUGUAUGACAUGUGAAUUCAAAGGACCAUUUCUUUUGCCCCAUGACAAGCCUUUCAGAGGGUGAAGUGCUUGGAUUUAGAGUGAUUCUCCUUAGAGGAUUUACCCCCAGUUGUUGAAAUAUGGCAAAUACCAAGUGUCCACGAUUUAUUAUAAGACAAUAAAGUGAUUGUUCCUUAUGGAGUACUCCCUACACUCUGGAGAAAAGCAAACAAUAGCAUGUGUUCUUUCUUCCUCUUAGAAAAUAGUCUAGUCUUUUAAAAUUCCCCUUGACUGCAUAGAGGUUUGUUAUCUUUCAAGGUCCUGUUCAAAUGUUG
rnacentral:lncRNA from 1 species